UGGACUGCAGAGGGGUGCACUGCACCCAGUCUUGAGCAUAAGAUCAGAGCUCUCUGAGGCCUCAUAGCUCAGGCCUCAACCGAUGAGCUGACGGCUGCAUCUGCACUUGUCCCAGACGGAGAGCUUGAAGCCUCACUUCCUGACUAUCUCACCAGCCCAGCCUGACACCCGACGCUGCACCCCAGCACAGCAGGGACUCGCGCUGAACACCGGACUCUCUCAUCCUUCUUUCAAUACUGCAGGUGAUUUGAUUGGCAAAGCCAGAGGAGGGCUCAGAAACCUGUGCAAACUAUCCUGAAAUGAAGGAGAGAAGGAAGAGAAGAAGGCAGCCUCGUCAAUGGGAGGCCCUCUCAUUGGUGAUGAAUUGACACUUGGGAAGAUCAAAGGUUCAUCAGGACAGUAAUGCAUUGUGGUGAUUUAUCAGCUGUUUGGGUUUGUCUCUGUGGGGGGAAGAAAAGACAUUUCUGCUUGAGGUGCCACCAAAAUGCUGUCUGCCUGGCAGUGGAGCCAAGGAGGCUGGGUGGCUGGGUGUGCCCCCACCCAGACCAUUCGUCAACUGUGUCAGUUGUCCUGACCCCUGAU